CGGCAAACCAUUUGAAAAAAUGGGACGCAAAGCCUCCGGUCUGUCGGUUCGAGAAAAGCUCAACAAACGGUUUUCUCAAUCUAUGAUAGCGGGGCCGCCAU
rnacentral:ncRNA from 1 species